rnacentral:rRNA from 1 species
UACAGAGGUCUCAAGCGUUGUUCGGAUUCAUUGGGCGUAAAGGGUGCGUAGGUGGCGCCGUAAGUCGGGUGUGAAAUUUCGGAGCUUAACUCCGAAACUGCAUUCGAUACUGCGGUGCUUGAGGACUGGAGAGGAGACUGGAAUUCAUGGUGUAGCAGUGAAAUGCGUAGAGAUCAUGAGGAAGACCAGUGGCGAAGGCGGCUCACUGGCCCGGUACUGACGCUGAGGUGCGAAAGCGUGGGGAGCAAACAGG